UGCCCGAGAGAUAAGUCCGACAGUCUUUUUGUUGUGCCUUUCUGUGACUCAGCAUCUUCACUAUUUGGUGAGCAGCAACAACUAUCCUUUUCAUAAUAUUAUUACAUUCCAUCCUGGAUUUUUCAUUGUUCAUCAGAGAAAAGAUUUUUCUGAGGAAUUAAACUAGAUGGUAGUGUAGAACUUGUGAACUUUUAAAAAUAUGAAGUAAAAGAUUUUAACUUUAAAUUAGGUUAAUUCAAAUAUGGGACAAUGUUGAGAGUUGAAAAGUUGGAAAAAAUAAAUAAGAUAUAUAUUGAGAUGUCGUAUGACUGAUGGAGGAAAGAUUUUGCAUUUCUUUUUCCAAGUAAGAAUGCACUUGCUCUCACUUGCUUCAAUACAUGUCUAGCGAUUCACGUGAAACAGAGAAAAAGAUAAAGACUGCCAUGUUAAUGAACAAGUGAGAUUGCCCAGUAUCACUCUGACAGAAGAGUAUAGUGUUUCCUUGAUAUGGUACCUGGUCAGCAAUGUCAUUGGGACCAAAUGAAAGUUUCUGCAGAUACCACACAGAAGCAAUUACUGUUACUGGAAUACCAGUAAUGUUUAUUAAAUUCAGUUAUAAAGUAGUUAUGGGCAUUGCAGCUAGUGAGCAAUGUCAUCGGGCACCAAAAGAAGUUCAGUUAUGAUGGAUUUCUGGCCUUCAGUCCAUGGGAAAAUUCACACCAGAUUGCAUCAAGACUGUUAUAUUCCAAGGAUAUCUUGGAAGAUUGAUAGUAUUCCUGAAGGAAAACAAUCCAUAUAGUGUUUCACGUGUGUAUCAAACUGCCAUUUGUUGUGGCACAUAAAUGUUUGCAACUUGAUUGUAAUUUUUGAACAGUUUCUCAACAAUCCAAGAAUUUCUUGUAAUGAGAAGUAGACAUUGUUGCUUGGUUAAAGGAAAUACAAA